rnacentral:lncRNA from 1 species
UUUAUUUUUAAAAUUAAUUUUUAUUUUAUAUUUUUUUAUAAUACUUUUAUGAAUUACAUUUAAUUUAAAAUUAAGUAGUUUUAUUUAAUAGUAGUUCGGUAUUUUUAAUGAAAUUGAGUACUAUAGUUUGGUUUAGUUAAUUUUUUAAGAAAAUCUUAAAAAUGAAGGUAUAAUCAUGGAUAUUUGAUUAUUACUUUGACUUUCACACAUUAAUUUUAUAGAGAAAUCUUUUUUUACAGAUAGAUAUUAUUAGAGGCCAGGACCACAUGGAUAAAGCAAGGGCUUUGUACUUUGGAGCAAAUGAAGAUAAGGAUGCAUUGUUUUAUGGGAACCCUAACCUUCAGAUUAAAAGUUGGAUGAGGAUGCCAACGUAUGAAGCAGAUUUUGGUUGGGGAAAACCCGUGUAUUUCCGUUAUGCAGUUGUCGCUACACAAGAUAGGGCAAUCAUUACUCAAAGUCCGGAUGGGGAUGACUCUGUUAUUCUGUUUCUAUCCUUUCAAAUGGAAUAUAUGCAGCUUUUCAAGGAUUGUUUUUAUGAAGAAAUAUAAGCUGUAUCUUUAUAUAUAUAUAUAUAUAUAUAAUUUUUGAAUGUAAGCUUUACAUGUGUGAGACAUGUAAUUUGUCAUGUUUAAUUAAUUUACUUAAUUGUUAUGCUUAAUUGUUUACUUGCUUUCAUUGGUGGAAAUCUUACAAAUUAUUUUAGAAAAUAUGUAUUUUUACAAAUUAUAUAUGAAAUUUAAUGUAGUCAAUUUGCAUUAAUGGAAAUCUUCGAAAGUAGAUGUAUAAAAGAUUAGAUUGAUAGUAAUAAACAUUUGACAGAUGAAUUUAGAGAAGAAGUGUAUGAGUUUUUCUACAAUGUUAUUAGUCAAGAACAAGGUCAAAUGUUGUACCUGUGGGGAUGAUGAGGCCUGAGUAAUAUUGAUCCACUUUGAUACACAAUUCGUUGACGUUCUCGUACUCCUUGAAUUCUUCAAAGUUCUUCCUCUCUCGCGCGUUCCGCCGGUCGGUGGGGGUACCUGCGAGUGCACUCUGACGCUCAAAUCAGUAGUAAUUAGUCUAUUCUCUUAGGAUAUAAAAAACGUACAUAUUCCCCCUUUCAUUAUAAUUGUAUAAAACAGAUUAUAAAAAAGUGGUGGUUAAAUUUUAUUUAUUCAGAAUUAAAAUUACGUCAGUUAAAAAUGUCACUAUUUAUGUAUAUUAUGACGUCAGAAUCUUCUUCAAUGAAUGUAAAUUGCGACAUUUAUAACUGACACUACUUACGUAUAUUAUGGUGCCAAAAUCUUUUCCAAUGAAUGUAAAUUGUGACAGUUAUAACUGACACUACUUACAUAUAAAAACCGCCACUAUUUACACUAUGUUUAAAGUGGCGGGUGUUGCGGCGGGUAGCGUAAAACCGCCACAUUAAACUUUGUGGCGGCCAGUUCUAUGGCGGUUUGGGAAACCGCCACAAGCGUAUAUUGUGGCGGUUAUAAACGCCAGUUUAUACGAAAAUAACCGCCACAAUAUACAUUUUUUUUUGUAGUGUAAGUAAUUGAAAAAGUAAAAAUCUAAGUGUUGAUGAUGAGUUCAAUGCAUAAUUAAUCAACUAUAUGGUUGUGUUUGGAUUGGAAAGAAGAUUUGAAGGAGUGGAUUUGGUGUGAUUUGAGAAGAAAGUGAAGUUGUUUGGAUUAGGGUAUACUAGAGUAGAUUUGUGAGAAAACUUUAUUGAAUUUUGUGACUGAUGUGAUGAUUGUGUGAAAAUUUUAUUUUUUUUAAAAGGUGUAAAAUGUAAGUUUAAAAAUUUACUCUUACCUUUAAAAAUAUAUGAAUAAUAACAAAAUAAUUAAUUAUUUUAUAUAUUUAUUUAUUUUUUAGAAUUAAUAAUAAUAGUAUAUAAAUAACUAUAUUUAUUUUUAUUAUUAUUAAUUAUUAUUAAUUUAUUUUUAUUAAUAAUAUUAUUAAAUAUUUUUAUACAACUAAAAUUAAGUGUAAUUUUGAAUUUUUAAUGAUAUUACGUAAAUUUUAGUAAUUAUAAAAUAUAUAUUUAAUAUAAUAUAUAUUUUAACUUCAUAGAUAUAAUAAAUUUUAUAAAUUAUAAAAAAAUAUAUUUAUAUAUAUAUAAUAUUUUAUUUAUUUAUAUUAUUUUUAUAAAUUAAUUUUAACUAAAUAAAAAAUAAUAAUUUUAUAAUUAAUUAAUUAAAAAAAUUAAUUUUAUUAUUAUUACUAUUAUUUACUUUUUAUAAUUAUUUUAAUUAUUUAUAAUAAUUUUUAUUUCAUAAAUUUUGUUAUUUAUUAUGAUUUUUAUUUUAUAUAUUUAUUAAUAUUUUUUAUUAUUUUAAUAAAUAAUUGUUUUUAUAUUAUAUUUAUACAAUUAAAUUAUAUUUUUAUUAUAAUAUAAAUAUUAAUAAAUUAAUAAUAUGAAAAUAUAAACGUAUAUAUAAAAAAUAUUAUAUAUUGAUAAGAUUAUGAAUAUAUAUUUUAUUAUAUAUAAUUUUCUUUCUUCGAAAAUCUUCUUAUCUAUACGAAGAAAAAAGGUCAAAUAUAUUUUACCUCAUUUUCUAUUUUUAAAUAAUUUUUUAUUUAUUGAAUGUUUUGCAUUUGUUGAUAUUCUUUGCUCGUACAAAUCUUUCGUGGAAAAUAAACGGAGCAUAAGUAAAGAAUCCUAUCAAGAUGAGAUCAAGUUUUUCAACCCUUAGAUGGUCCUUUUUGGUCUUACUGAGCAAAAGUUUCAAAGUGGGGUGGUCUGAUACAUGAAGCUCCCAUAAUGUGGGUUUUGGGACACAAUUACUCCCACACGGUUUAACGAUGGUCUUCCUGGAAGUGUGUGUUGAGUGUGAAGUCGGGACCAAUUGGACUGAACUGAUUAGAUACCAUGUUUUAGUGAGUGAGCUUAAUUAUUGUGUUCCCUCUAUAAUCUCUAUUUAAGAUAUCUUUGUGCUUGUAAUAAAAUUGUAACAAAUAGAAUGAAAACCUAAUUAGUUGCUCGUGGACGUAGGUUGCAGAUUUACGACCGAAUCACGUUAAAUUUUGUGCUGUUUAUUUUCUGCAGUUGAUUCGUGAUUGUGUGUGUUGCUUCCACGUUCAUUUUUCCCAUCAAGUGGUACCAGAGCCAAGUUCGUUUACACACUAGAGAUCCGAUCAGCAAAAAUUAAUCGACUAUACGUCUAAAUUAUAGCUGCAACGGCGUCCCAAAGCUAGGGUUUUGCAGGGGCGGCGGCGGCAUCCCAAAGCAAGGGUUUCACAAGGGCGGUAGCGGCGUCCUAAAGCUAGGGUUUUGCAGUGUUGACAUCGACUUCCCAAAGCUAGGGUUUCGCAAGGGUGGCAACGGCGUCCCAAAGCUAGGGUUGCGUGUGCAUUCUGCAGGUUUGCUGGUCUGAGAUGGCACGAAGUGCAGUGCGACGAUGGUGGUGCGAAGCGUGCCAGUGCGGUACGGAGCGCGAACAGCGGCGGUGCGUAUCGUAGCAGCUGUGGUCCAGUACGACGGAGUGCCAGUGUAGUGGGGAUUGCGACCAGGUUUGUUGGUGAGUGAUUUUGGGUGGUUCAAUUUUUGUGUUCUUGAUUUAAAAAAAAUUUGCCAACAUCUAAAAUUAGUUGUACCGAGUAUCUCGACUAGUCGUUUGAGAUGGCAGAAGACGGGAAGUUCCGAAUUGAAAAAUUCGAUGGUACAAAUUUCAGUUGGUGAAAAAUGCAAAUUGAGGAUUUUCUAGUUCAGUUACUGAGCACAUCAAUAAAAUGAAUUCGAUCUUAGCCAGACUUACGUCAGUGGGCAUUAAGUUCGAUGAUGAAGUUCAAGCUUUACUAUUGAUAUCGUCAUUGCCUGACAGUUGGUUCGGGACGGUUACAACAUUUACCAGUUCAGCAGGACUCGAUGGAUUCACUUUUGAGAAGAUUCGUGAUCUCAUUCUUGGCGAGGACGUCAGAAGAAAGAGUUUCGGGGAAUUAUCUAUUGAAUCGCUAAAUUUAAUCAGAGGUAAGAAAUAUCAGAGGUAGUGGGAGCAAGAUCAGAAGAAGGAGUCAGUCAAAGACUAAGGAUUGCUCAAGUGCAACAUGUUGGAACUGCAAGUGGGACAUUUCAGGAAUCAAUGCUCAAAUGAUAAACAAGUCAACUUGCAGAAGACUCCGCGAACGAGGACCUCUUAGUCUGUUGUGCGGAUAACAAUGUAGAUUCCUAGGUCAUGGAUUCUGGUGCUUCAUUUCAUGCUACCCACAACAGUGAAGCAUUGCAGAAUCUAGUUAUUGGGGACUUUGGAAAGGUAAGACUAGCAGACAACAUAACUCUUGAUGUUACGGGCAUGGGUGACAUAGUGUUGAAGACGCCAGUCGGUUUCUGGACUUUGAAGGAUGUCAGAGUUGUUCCAAGCUUAACGAAAAAUGUGAUUUCUUUUAGGUAGUUGGAUGAACAGGGACAUGAUGUGAAGUUCGGAAAUCAACAGUGGAAGGUCGUUAAGGGAAAUCUUGUCAUGACCUGCGAAAGAAAGAGAGGUUCAUUGUAAAUGGUCGGAUUACCAUCUGAGGGAGUGACCGUCCCAGUUCGGAAGAUAAACAAAGUCCAGUUCACAAAAUCUCGUGGGCAGGAGAGGGUUGUCUUUACAAGAAAGAAACACAGAGCCACAGGUCAGUUUCAAGAUGAACGAGCAUGGAAAGGUUCAGGUAGACCAAUCAGAGGUACUUAUGGCAGUGGGAGCACAGGUUGUGCUUCAGCUGAGGUUCCUAGAUGACAGUGGGUUAGGAGAACCAGUAUUGCAACUGUUGAAACAUCUCCAGAAAAUUUCUUGUUGAGUAUAGAGUAUGUUUGUUCUCAGGCUAUUCAAGAAUCCGAAAGUUCAUGUAAGUGGGAACCGAUAGGAACAAAAGGACGGGUCAGUGGCAGUUUCAGUCAUGACAAACGUGUUAAAACUCACGGGAGUUUCAACGAAGUCUUUAAGAUGAUUAAGAAGGCUGGUGGCAACUAGAGGUGGAACAUUGAGUUUCGUUGAAAGAUUACAUAAGUACAUGUACACAGUUGAAGCGCAGGUGAACAUUGUUUCAUGGCUUCAAGUGGGAGAUUGUUGAGUGUGAAGCCAGGACCAAUUGGGCUGGGCUGACUAGACACCUUGUUUUAGUUAGUGAACUUAAUUAUUGUGUCCCCUCUAUAAUCUCUAUUUAAGAUAUCUUUGUGCUUGUAAUAAAAUUGUAACAAACAUAAUGAAAACAUAAUUAGUUGCCCGUGGACGUAGGUUGCAGAUUGACGACUGAACCACCUUCAAUCCUGUGUUGUUUAUUUUCUGUAGUUGAUUCGUAAUUGUGUGUGUUGCUUCCGCGUGCAUUUUUCCCAUCAGCAUGUUGUAAAAGUGUCAACAUCAACGAUCAAAUACUUGAUCUUAACGGUUUUCUAUCUUUCGUCUUCUCCAAAUUUCGUGUAGAGGUCAACAUAUCCUUUCAUGUCCUCUCUUUCCUUCGAGAACCUGACAAUGGUAAAUCAUACUAUAUAUAUAGAUUUUGAUAUGAUGAGCAAGUUUAGAUCUAUCUUAACUUUGAAUUACUUACAUCUUAUCUCACUUAUAUCCUAUAUUAAUAGAUUUAGAGAUAUUCUCUUACAAUGUAAAGCAAGAAGUGUAAAAAAUGAAAUUUCCAAUCUUGUAUUUUAUUAGAAUAAAUCUUGCCACCGAUUUUUUAUUCAACUGCUACAAGAUCUACAAUUCCAUGAGCUUGGGCUUUUGCUGCUGACAUAAAAACAUCCCUUUCCAUGUCUUCCGAUAUGACCCAUAAAGAUUUGCCCGUUCAUUGUACAUAAACCCUUGUGAUAGUUUCAUGCAUUUUUAGUAUCUCUUCCACUUCCAGGAUAAAUUCUCUUGCUUGUGCUUCUUAAAAAGAACUAGUGGGUUGGUGGAUCAUUACUCUGAUUAUAUCACUUAAGUAGUAUUUCUCUUAUCUUUGAUAAAUAUUUCUAGAAUUCUUUAUCUUAUGUUGGUAUAUUGUUAAAGAUUGUCUUUAUUCCCUAAAUAAAGGUAAAAGGGAUAAAGCCAAAUAAGGAAAAAGUAAAAAGAAUAUUCAGUAACCGUACAAGUAUUUUGUAUUAAUGUGUAUAGCUUUUGCACCUAAGCAAUUCAUUUUUUCCUAAAAGUAUUUUCUUUGAUGAAUUUUGUUUCUACAUUUAUAAAUUUAUUUUUUUCUAUAAAAAUAAAAAGAAGUAAAAAAUCUACUAGGAGAACCAUGUCAGCAGAAAGUCCCAUCUUCUUAAAGGUUUUAAGGAACAAGACAUUGACCAAACUUCCUUGGUCAACCAAAGUUUUCAUAAUUGUAUAAUUCGCUACCUCAAACGUGAUUACUAUAGGGUCAUCCUAAUUCGGGUCUAUUCCUUUAAAGUCUUCGUCCGUGAAGGUUGUCAGUGGCAUCAUUCGCCUACUCCUUUCGACCAAAUUGACGGAGCGAAGUCUACGCAUAUGCCGUUUCCGAGAUGAGUAGGAGGUUCCUCCUCCUGCUAACCCACAAGUUAUGGUGUUGAUGACUCCUUUUGGUGGUCCACUUCUUCCUCUUUCUCAGUCACCUCUUCUUUUAGGGGUUCGUGAUAUUGGCCGAUAAUCUCCCCGAUUAGUUCUUGGCUCUUGUCGAUCAUAUCUUCUUUCAUCUUUCUUUUCUUUGCUUACAAACCGUCUCAGGUGACUAACUUGUACUAACUCUUCGAUUGUUUGACCAAAGUUCUGAUGAUAUUGUGUCGAUUCUAAUAUGCAUUUGAGGGGUGGGAGUUCUUUUAAAUGGCAGUAUCAGGUCAACACUCAAGGCCAUGUCGAGAAUUUUUCCUAGUUCAACCGUCAAGGAGGUAUAUUGAGAGAAUCUUAUUGGUUUUGGGAAUUCCCUCGGCCUUCACGGUGGCCGCAUGGCUCGUGGUGUCUCCCUUCCUAUUUUUCGAAUCUCGACAUCCUCGAUGACCUUUGUUUUAAAUUCCUGCAAUUCUUCAAGCUGCAUAAAUUUUGCCGCUCGUUGUCUAAGCUCGUCCAUAUUGCCGACCGAUUUUUACAAAAACUGUCAGAGAAAGAUCUUGGUUUCAGGGUUGUUACCAGGUGAUGGGGAACUACCUCUGGGCUUAGGUCCCAGAUACUGAGAGCCACCUUACCGAAUCUCUCCAUGAAGGAUCGAAUUGUUUCGAAUUUUUCCUGUCAGAUGUUAACGAAAGCAAGGGAGGUUUAAUGGUGAUGUUUACUUGUAGCAAACUAAGCUAAGAAUUUAGAUAUGAGUGUGUCGAAGCAAUCGACGGUAAGGAGUGGGAGGGGCGUGAACUAAUUCAAGGCAGUCCCCUUGAGUGAGGUGGGGAAAACGGGACAAAGCAGGGCAUCAUUAGCCAUGUAUAGACUCACUUGGGUCACAUAAGCAUAGACAUGUUCGUCAGGAUCGCCACUAUCAUCAUACUUAUCAAUCGUUGGGCUCUUCCAAGUGUGUGGCAAAGAUACCUCCAUAAUUUCUUUAGUAAAGGGAUGCCGACAUGAUGACAACCCACUUACCCCAUCCGAGGCUAUGUGCACUGUGUGGUUUGGUUGUGAGUUGUUUUCUCAUUCCAUUUGUGUCAGUGUUCGGUUUUCAGAGUGUCCAUGCUUCCUUAAGUCUUCUUGAGUUAUCGAUGUGUGUCCCACUUCGAACUUCCUUUUCAUUAUUUCAUUCACGGCCUUCAAGGCCUUGAUCUCCUCCGCCUUCUUUCGUUUCAUGUUUUUGAAUUCCCUCUUCAUUUCCAGCAUCAUGGCUACCCGAUCCAUGGACGAACCUUCUUUAUAUUUCCUGUGAUUUCCCAUCAUGAUUCUCGUGGCUACCAUACGGUUUCUCUAUAGGUUUUCCUUUCGAUCCACGGUCGGCACCAAAAUGUUCUUAUAAUUUGAGAGAACAAAUAUUACCUAUCAAGUGUCUUAUUCUCCUUCCAUUGUCAAUCUAUUACAUCCACGGGGUGGGAUACCUGCAAAGACACUUCAAUGCUCAAGACAAUUGAAGUCUUGAUAUGCUUAGCCAAUUUUUGAGUUAGAACAACAUUAUCUUUUACCAUGGGGGUCUCUAUUUAUUUAUAUUUUUUCUAUUGGAUUUUAUGCUUUGUGAGGAUUAGUGUAGGCCCAAUGGUCUACUAAUAAUGUUUUAUGUGAUUAUGUGAUUUUGACUGAGAAUCUGUAUAGCCGUAUACAUUAUCGGUCAGUCAGUCAAUUCCGAUAGAGGACCAGUGAAUUAAGGAAGACUUCUUAGUGUUGAAGAACAAACAAGUGAUCGAACAACUGAUAAUGCAUAUAGACUAUUGGGUAUACAUUGUCGAACAUCCAAUUUCUAGUAAGAUAAUAAUAAAUAAGGAUAAUUUUCUCUUUAUUUUCAUAUAAUAUUUUUUGUACUCCUUUCAUUUUUUGAUAAGAAGGAAUUGUGAGAAAAGAACAAAAAUUCGAUAAGACUUGCAAAUAUUUUUAUUCUUUUAUCAAAUGUUCCUGUAAAUAGAAAGAUUAUUUACUUUACUCCGUGUUUUUUUACUCUAAAAUAACACUAUAUGAUUAGGUUGAAAACACAUAUACCAUUUUCUUAUGUUGAUAGCAAAUAAAGUUAAUAAACUUGGGUGAGUUAUAAGAGAAAAGUGACAAGAAUACAUUAUUUCGUACAUACCAAAACAUAUAUAAAAAAAAGUCGUGUUAAGUAUUUUUAUUUAUUUUUUAUUUUUUAAUAAUAUUUUUUCAUGUGAUUGGUGUUACUUAAAAUUUCAUUGUAGCUGAGAUGUCAAGUUACAUAAUAAUAUAUCUAACAUGAAAGUUUUAAAAUAAAAAAUAAUAACACAGGUGAAAUUUAUUAUGUUUUUGAAAAAAAUGGGAGGUAAAUUACAAUUUUACCAAAAUAAAUAAAUAAACACUUCAUUAGUCCUUUUUUUUAUCUAUUUCAAUUUUAUAGAAAAAAAAAUCUAUUUUUUUUUAGAAUUUUAAUAUUUUAUUUUCUAUUAUAUGCUUAAUCUUUAAAUAAUUUUAAAAUAAUUUACACAAAAUAUUUAUUAUGUUAAAUUAAGAGAAAAUUUGAUAAAAUAGAAAAUUGAACUAUUAUUUAUUAAAAUUAAAAAUAUUAUAUUUCUUAAUUCUUGUAAAUAAUAAAUAACUCAUGUUUGAAGUGUCAUUUAACCAAGAACAACAUUUGUUUUAGAUAAAUUUAUUAAAUAAAUGUUUGUAUCGUUAUGGUUUAACUUCUCUCUUUUCCAUUUAUACUCACCAAAUUACCAAGAAAUCAUACAUUACUAAUAGAUAAGCAAAUGACAAAGCUAAUUGUGCGGGUGUAAAAAUGAUGGCAUUAGCUCUUCUCUUUUGCGGUUUUUAGGUGGUUUGCGGAAGCUUAAUGGGUUGUAGGUGGAUCAAGGAUCUCCUAGAAGGUGUGGUAGCCUUGUAGGUGCAUGAUAGGUAGGGAAAUAGGAGAGGUUCGGCCAGCUCCCUUUGGUUGGUGAAAGAGUUGAAGAUUAAAGCCCUAAAUCUAGAGAGAUUUAGGCAAGGAGUAUGAUUGGACAAAUUUGGCAGCAUAUCAAUACUCAAAAUAAUCUUGGAAUUACAUGAGGUAGGCUCCUCCUUAAAUAGCCUAGGAGGACCGUAAAUGCACAUGUAAAUGAAAGGGAAAUGCUAGCUGAAUUACAUGCAAGUGUGAGCACAUGGAAGCACAUUGGAGACAUGAGCACAUGGGAGAAGUGGCACCUAAAUGGAGGUAGGUUCUAGAAUCCUUCCUUGUGUGGUUGGUCUAGAACUUACGCCCAUUAGGUCUAGCUAAUUGGGUCGGUCCUAAGUUUACUUAGAAAUGGGUAUAUCUAAUUAAACUUAGGUUUAGCCUUUUAAGUACCACUUUGCAUGUUUCAUCACAUUUACAAAAUGACUUAAACUAUGCUACUUUGACUAGAAAAGUGAGAAGAACUAUCAUACACUAGAGUCUAUGACAUGUAAAAAUGUGUCCUCUUGACCCCUCUUUGACCAUUACUCUAGUGGUUCCCUCAAUCUAGCAUUUUAGUGACCUCUCAAAGGAUUGGUGCUGGGGCCUCUUCCAUCAUCCCCUCCCUCUUGAAAAGGAUUUGUCCUCAAAUCCAUUGCUUCUUCUUCUUCAUGGCUAGGGGAAUGGAUGUGACUGGAUAGUGACCAUCAUCUCUUCCUCCUUGAGAAGAUCUAUCCUCAGAUCUAGAGAUUUGAUCUCGGAUGGCAGCCUCGUGCUUCUUCAACUAUACUUGUCCUCCCGGAUCAAACGCCCAUCUAUGGAAAUCUUCAAACAAAGAAAAUGAGGUAGUUGAAGCAAUUGUAUAAAAAUCAAUUUUAUGAAGUUGCCAUUCUUUUUGUUUUUCUAUUGUUUUGGGCAACUUUUCACAAUAUUUCUCUUUUGAUUGUUGUAUUUGUUCUUUAAUCCUCUUGUGUAUUUUAACAAAUUCGGUUUUUGUUACUUUUUCCUUAGGCACAAGUCUUUGUGGAUUAGGAAAUGGUAACAAAUCAAAAGGGAAAAGAGGAUUAAGUCCACAUACAACUUCAAAUGUAGAAAUAUUAGUAGUCUUGUGGACUACUCUAUUGUAUGCAUGCAAAAUAUCGAAAAGAUACUCAUCCUAAGAGUUGUGGUUGUCUCUCAUGAUUACUCUAGGCAUAGUAGAAAGAGCGAUGUUUUCAAUUUUAUUUUGACCAUUCUUUUUGAGGAUGAUAAGAAUUCAACUUAGUUUCAAGUUUUUCGAAAAGUAUCCUCAAAAAAUGGUUUUCAAAUUUUGGAGCUCUAUCCAACACUAUGCUUGAAGAUAAACCAUGAAGACUUAAUACUUAUCUAAAGAAGAGUUUAUCCAUAUCCAUAAGAAUGGAAUCAAAACCUUUUGUUGUCCUGGGAAGCUCUAAUAUAAAAUCUAGGCUUAUGUCUUCCCAUGGAUCAUUUGCAAAAGGUAAAGGAGUAUAGAGUUCAUGAGACAUCGCCUUAGAUGUAUUUUUAAAACAAGGAAUGUAUCUAGGGUAAUGUCUUUGAACAUCUUUUCUCAUGGGUGACAAGAGUUUUCCUUUUAAAAGCUCUAGAGUUUUAUCAACUCUAAUUUGGCCCAUGAGUUCUCCUUCAUGAAGAAUUUCUCUUUUAUGUGUGAAGGUAGUCUCGUUGAUACAACCUUUGUUCAUGAAAAUUUUAAUUCUUUGCAAUGGUUGUCUCAAUAAGACAUCACAAGUUUCUUUAGGCACUACCUCACAUAAAAAUUUAUCUUUGUAGAUGCCUAUAGAUAAUUUGACCUUCACUUGGUGAUAUCUUAGCACAUAUGAAAAAUAAUCUAUGACAUCUUUAUCUAUGCAAGCCUCUUUUAAGGAUUCAUCUUUUUUUACUAUGCUUGCAAGUGUUCCUUUACAAAAGGUAAGGCUAGGUUGUUCAACAAGAAGCAUAUUUUCAAAGGUAUUUUUAAUUCUUUUGUCUUGUUGAAUGACCUUGUGGGAAGGAACACUCUUCUCCCACGCCUUUUGUUCCCUAAGAGUCCUCUCUUUUUCUCUUUUUCUUUUCUCUUCAUCCCUCUUUUGUUUCAUUUGUAUUUGAUCUCUUACCACUUGGGAGUGUGGUAAAGGAUUAAGUACAAACUUUUUAUGCUUAUGGGUGAAGGAAAUCUCGUUAGUUAGACCAUCAUGCAAGGUUUUCUUACCAAAUUGCCAUGGUCUACCUAAUAAGAUAUGAUAAGCUUCCAUAGGUACUACAUCACAUAAAACUUUGUCUUUGUAGUUACCUAUAGAAAACUUGAUUUCCACUUGUUUAUCUACACUUAGUUCCACUUGUAGUUAUUUUCAUUGAUCCAUUGUACCUUGUAAAGUUUGAGAUGAGGAACUACUUGUAGAUUUAGUUUCUCAACCAUCCUAGUGCUACAACAGUUGCAGCAUGAUCCACUAUCCACAAUGAGAGAGCAUAUAUUUUCUAAAACAUUGCAUCUUGUAUAAAAGAUGUUAUCUUGUUGUGUUUCUAUGGAUGCACUAGGUUGAUUGUUGAGGGUUCUUUGAAUCAUCAAUAAGUCCCCCUCUAAAGGAUUUACCCUCUCAUCAUCUCCCCCUUCCUCUUCUUUUUCACUAGGUUCAUCCUCUCCACUAAUGUAUUCAUCUUUUCCUUUUAAGAACAAAGAUCUUUAGUUUGGACAUUGUGCUUGCACAUGUCCUCUUCCAAAGCAUUUAAAGCAUUUGGUGUCCCUAGCUCGGAUGGGUGGGGUGGAGGUAUCCUUCACUAAGGGUUUGGUAGUUUCUUUUGGUUGCUCUUUAGAUGUGCUACCUUCCCUUUUAAAAUCUCUCUUGGGAUAGGAGUUAGGAUAUGAACCUACUCUUUGACUUGAAGCUUUUCUUAAAUUUUGUUGUUCAACUUUAAUGCAAAGUUGAACCAAAUCAUUCAAGUCUUGAUAGGGGAGAAGUUCAACCCUAUCUCUUAUCUCAAGAUUGAGCCCACUUAGGAACCUUGCUAUGGUGGCGACCUCUUCCUCUCUAAUAGAGGCUCUCAUCAUGUAAAGCUCCAUUUUUUGCCUAUACUCUUCCACACUCAUAUUUUUUUGUUGGAGUCUUUGGAGCUUGUCCAUUAACUUCCUAUUGUAGUAGGAAGGUAUGUGGCGACGUCUUAGGGCUCCCCUAAGGUCAUUCCAAUAUUCUAUGGGAGGCUCCCUAUGAAGACGUCUAUCUCUCUCUAGAGAGGUCCACCAAUACAUGGCAUUUCCUUGAAAGCUAAGGGUGGCUAAGGGUACUUUCCUUUCUUCACUCACCCUAUGGCAAGCAAAAAGUUGCUCUAGCUUCAUCUCCCGAUCUAGGUAUACUUUUACAUCUUCUUUACCAUAGAAAUGAGGUAGAUCUACCAUAUCCUCCUUUGGGCUUUCUUGCUCUCUUCUUCUACUUCUCCUAGGGGGUGGUUGAUAGUAAUCAUUGAUUCUAAGACUUUCCUCCCCUAGAGAAUCAUGAUCUUUGGAGUUAGAUGCAUGAGUAUGUGAUUUUUUUUGAAUUUUGAGAAUUUUCAUCCUUGGCUUUAGUCAAUUCAUUAAUUUUGGCCUCAUUCUCCAAUUGUCUAUAUGAAAUUAAUUGAACAUCCUUGGAAAGUUGUCUUAAAAGAGAUUUUAAGGACUUCACAUCACUUUCAAUAGAUUUAGAGGAGUGAGAAGACAUGACUAAAACUUUGUGUUUAGAAAUGCUUUACUUUAAGAAGGAAGAGGAAAGUUAAUGAAGGUAGUUUUCCAGGUAAGAGAGGUGAGUCAUUAAGGACUACUUAAAUACCAAGUCUUGCCUUAGCCAAAAACUAUCCCUCAAAAUCUUCACACAAUUCUUUCUUUAGGUAAAUCACUUAGAACACAAUGAGGAUGAAGAAAUCAAAUUUUAUGCAAGAAAACAAUGCUAUCUAGCAACUAAAGCGAUUUAUCAAAGCUUUAAACAAAGAUAAGCAUAAGAAAAUUAAGCAAACUAAGCAAAUAUUGACGUAAGGUAAACUAGCUAGAACAAUUAACAAAAGCUAACUUAGAAAGCUUAAACUAGUCGUUCCUAGGCGAGGCUUCUUAGACACUUUGAGCCUUUGAAGACACACUCACCGUCUAAUUUGUGAUUAAUCCACUAAUUAACAAGAGUGAAAUGUAAUUACAAUUUAAGAAAUGCAAAGAAAUUAAAUUGCACAAAUUAAAUUUCAGUUAUGCACUCCUUUAAUUUGUUGUGACUCUUUUUUGUUGUGUCCUUCAAAGUGUAUGGUUUGUUUUUGGUAUUUGUAUUUGCUGCUGCCCCUUGCCUUGAACCUCUUAUGAUUUAAGCAAUUAAAUUCUCCAAAACAGUACCUACUAAGUAGAGUUAGACUCUCCUCAAGUCAAUUUAUCCACCAACAACAUAGAGGUCAAGAAAAGAAAACAAGAAACAAUUAAAUUUUAAAAACAGUACCACUGCAAUUGGAUUUAAUGAUAUGACACAACUAGAAAGAGUUCAAAAUGAAAUUGGACAAGCAAAUAAAAUAGGCACUCAAUAAAGGAUGGCACACAAAAGGAACCUAAAGAUUGGCACUAGAUUUGAUUUGAAAAACCAAAACAGCACUACUGAAAAUAUUGUGGUUCAGAAAGCGUGACUUCAAUGAUUUAUGCUGAGCUGGCUAUUUUGUAUUUGCUUCUGAAAAUUUAUACACAAAAAAUUCAGUUUCUUAACAAACUUUUGGCGUUGGUUUCACUCCAAGCACAUGCACCAACUAAUUGUGAUAAUUUUUCUAAAAUCAGUGUCCAAUUACCGCCAUCCAGAAUGCACACUUUUUUUGUAUGAUUUAUCUUUUUCAACUGAUUGUUUUUGUCUUCUUUUGCUAACACUUCAAACCACUGAAAUCCAGAAUCUCAUAAUUUUCUUUUGACGUACUUAAUUUUCAUAAAACAAAACAGCCAGAACAGAAUUUGUUAAAACAGAGGAUUCUAAAUCUGGAAUUAAAAAUAGAAUGAGAUACUUCAAAAACACAAUGGAAUGAAUGUGAUAGAAUUUGUAUGGAUCUAGCAUACAAAUAUGAACUCAAACUAAAAGGAAAAAUGCACCAAAGGAUCAAAUCAAAACAGAAUUCAGAUUAAGCAUUCAAAUCAAAACAAGAAACAAAUGAAUCAAGAAAAGUACUACUAAGAUUUGUUGACAAUUUUGGAAUUACAUGACUAGACAAAACUUAUAGAUCCAGAAAAUAAAAUGACUCAAACACAUCAUACGAACCAAAUAGAAAUUCAAGCAAGACUCAAAUAUCCUAAAAUAAAAACAGCAACACAAUUCACCAUAGAAUCCUACUCAAAAUUGAAAAUAAGAUGCUCAAGCACAAAUUGAACAAUUUCUACCGAUUGAAAUGCUUAGAAUAGCAUCCAAAUCAAAUUAAAAACGUAAAACAACAAGAAAACUUGAACAAAAGAUGAACAACAUGAAGAUAAGAAGAACUCAAGCAGAAAAAUGAAAAGAGACACUUAUCUCUUGAAGACCAUAACUCUAGAUACCAAAUGAUGGCAUUGAGCUAUUCUUUUUUGCGGUUUUUGGGUGGUUUGUGGAAGCUUAAUGGGUUGUAGGUGGAUCAAGGCUCUCCUAGGAGGUGUGGUAGCCUUGUAGGUGCAUGAUAGGUAGGGAAAUAGGAGAGGUUCAGCCCUAAAUUUAGAGAGAUUUAGGCAAGGAGUAUAAUUGGCACAAAUUUGGCAGCAUAUCAAUACUCAAAAUAAUCUUGGAAUUACAUGAGGUAGGCUCCUCCUUAAAUAGCCUAGGAGGACCGUAAAUGCACAUGUAAAUGAAAGGGAAAUGCUAGCUGAAUUACAUGCAAGUGUGAGCACAUGGAAGCACAUGGGAGACAUGAGCACAUGGGAGAAGUGGCGCCUAAAUGGAGGUAGGUUCUAGAAUCCUUCCUUGUGUGGUUGGGCUAGAACUUACGCCCAUUAGGUCUAGCUAAUUGGGUCGGUCCUAAGUUUACUUAGAAAUGGGUAUAUCUAAUUAAACUUAGGUUUAGCCUUUUAAGUACCACUUUGCAUGUUUCAUCACAUUUACAAAAUGACUUAAACUAUGCUACUUUGACUAGAAAAGUAAGAAGAACUAUCACACACUAGAGUCUAUGACAUGUAAAAAUGUGUCCUCUUGACCCCUCUUUGACCAUGACUCUAGUGGUUGCCUUAAUGUAACAUUUUAGUGGCCUCUCAAAGGAUUGGUGCUGGGCCUCUUCCAUAAAAAAAAUAUGUCUAAAGUCAGCUUCAUUCGAGUCAGGUUGGAUUUAACAAAAAUAUAAUCUUUUUAAAAAUAGGUUAAAUGAAACUCAAUUCAUUUUAGUGUGAAUUAAACAUAUUUGAGUCAGGUUAGAGGAUAAUUCACCUAUAAUUCAUCAACAAUAUUUUUUAUCAAGAAAAUUAUUUUUUAUUAUAAUUAUUUACUACUUUUAAUUAUAUAAAGUUGGCAUCUUAAUUUUUUUUUAACGUUAGAAUAUUAUUUAACUAGUACUUUUACAUGUGCAACACACGGGAUUUAUUUUUAAAAUAUAAUUUAUUUGUUCCAAAAUUUUUUUCACAAACACAACUAUUAUUACAAAGUACAAUAACAAGAUGAACAUGGUCAUCAUGGUUAUAAUGCAGAGCACGAAUAACAGAAAAUAAAAAUAUAAUGCACAUAACAAAUAAAUAAAGAUAAAGCAACUUUAAAACUGUUUUGGUUUCCACCAAAGAGAAACCCACACCUAAAACUUGGUUGUAAGAAACAGAAUAUGUAAAACAUAAAUUCUUUAAAAGAGUACAAUCACUUUUUGAUGUCCUUGGGAUUUCACUCUUAUGUCUCGGAAAAAAAAUUGUGGCCUUCUUCAAUCUAAUGAAAUGAAAAAAUUUCUUCCACCCACUUCCAAUUUUGGUGGAUUUCUUAAGAGGAUGUUACAACCGACAUCCUUUCCAUGUCCAUAUGAAAGACGACAUAUUUGAAUUCACCUUUAUGAAUAUAAUCCGUAAAGCCAGAAGGCAUAUGCUAUAGAAAAAAUACGUAGUAAUGAGUCAGAAAAUUAUACUAAGAUAGUUAGAAAUAGUAUAUAAAGUAAAUUGCACAUAAAUAUCACCAGAUGACUUGUUUGACAUCGAUAACAGUUUAGAGGUGACUAAGAAGUGAACCAGCAGAUCAUGAAAGAUAGGUACACGUCUUUGAAGACGAUCAUAAAAUUUUGUCACUGAGAAUGGCGUGGAGUCUCCCUUGAAAAUAGUUAUAUGAAAGCAACAAUCGCCAACGUACCAUAAUAAAAUAUGGUGGUCACCUUUAAAACCAUAGAAUGAUUACAUUUUAUAAUGAAGUAAUGCGUGUUUAAAUGUGGUUUUCAUGUAAUAUAUGUAAAUAACAAUACUAAAAAUAAUAGUAAUAGUAAUACUACGAAAUAUUUAGAUCGAGAGGUGAAGUGUUAGAUAAAUCGCCGAAGUAGAGCUAUAACAAUAUAACACAGAUGUUGGAACUGGAAUAAUCUUGUGACUCUCCUUUGUUAUUGUUAUUUAUAAAAUCUAACUUUUUUUAUUUUAGCUUUUGAUCUACAUAUAUUUUAUGUGCAAUUUUAGUUUUAUUCAUAAUUAUUAAUAUAUAAUUCUCAUAAUUUUGAAAUAUUUUAAAUUAAGGUCUUUAUUUUGAAAAGCAUACAAUAAUUAAUUCACUGCGAAAGUGGAAAAUAAUAAAGUUAUUUUUUUCUCGCAAUAUGUUUUUGUAAUCCUUGAAGCCCUCAUAGCCACAAACACACAUGGCUUUGAAGCCCACAUCUGACAGAUAAUGCAAUUAUUUAGGAUAUAUAAAGCAGUGAUAAAUAUAAGUUGUUUUUGAGCUAGGUAAUGGUGGCUUAUGACCCAAGUUUGGAAUUAAGGUGAUGGAAGAAGCAAUAUUGGACUAAGAAGAAAAUAAUGCCUUAUUUAGUGUUUCUUCUCCUUAAAUAUAAUAGACAUAAGUAUUGCUAAAUUGUGAUUCUUUGCUACAACUGUCGUUGGUGGCCAUUAAGCCUGUGUUGAAUAGCAGUGUGUCUACGGUGGAAGAGAGAAGUCAAAAGGAUCAUUAGAGCUAGUGGAAAAUGGGCUUGAAUGUUGACGACAAGUCAUUUUACAAAAUUUUGAAACUCGUGGUAUUUAACGGAGGUUUUGCAACCCAUGGUAUUUAACAGAGGUUUUGAAACCCAUGGUAUUUAACAGAGGUUUUGAAACCCAUAGUAUUUAACAAAGGAUUUGAAACCCAUGGUAUUUAAUGUAAGUUUUGAAACCCAUGGUAUUUAAUGUAAGUUUUGAAACUCAUGGUAUGUUACAGAGGUUUUUAAACUCAAAGUAUUUUACGAAGUUUUAAAACUCGUGGUAUUUACGGAGAUUCGUAAACUCAUGGUGUUUAACAAGGAUUCUGAAAGAUUUUUCCUGAAGUUUAAAAAAACCCCUGAGACAAGUUCCUCAAUGAUGAUUUAGAGAGGAAAACUAUAACCUUGGGUAAAUGACUUAAUAGAUGUUUUAACCUUAAAGAAUGUAAAAAUAAACUCCAUCAAAACUAUUAUUUUCUUAUAAGGGACUAUAUUGACAUAUCACUAAUUACAUUGAUUAAUUUGAUAUAUAUUAAAAAUAUGUAAAACUUAUAUAAAUAGUUUUAUUUUAUUUAUUUAUAUAAUAAAAAGAUGUUGUUAAAUAAAAUAUUUAUAAAUAUGUAAAUCUUAUAAAAUUUGUAAUAAAAUAAAAAUUAUAAGAAUGAUCUCUAAAACAUAUUUCACAAUUGUAUUAUUUUAGAGCACGUAAGAGUCUUCUGGAGAUUAACAUGUGUUCUUGAGGAAUGUGUGAGAUAUUUAAACAAAAAUUAAUAUUUUUUGUCAGCAAAAAAUAAAUUGCAUUAAAAUGAUUCAAGUCGUACCAAUGAGAAAGUGUUACAAAGAGGAACACAAAUUAGAGAAAUAACAGAAAAGAACACUGUACCUUAUGCUUUGAAACCACUGAAAACGAAAACGAUAGCUAAAACAUGAUAUACAAUAAUGCCACGUUUUACUCUACUAACCUCAAACUUGUCCAUAGAAGUCGAAUUCUAGUUUUUUAACACAGUCAAAAUUUGUUAUUUUUAUUUUGGAAUAUUUUGAUUUGUAAAAUUAUCAUGAAAAUUGUAAUUAUCAAGUAAGUUCGAGAGUUAACGCCCUAAUCAAUAAUUUUUGAGAUUAUUAAGUGAAUAAAAAAUUUAAUUAUUAAAUAAGUCCGACAUUUAACAUGAUAACUAAUAAUUUUGAGAUUAUUAUGUUAAUGAAAAUUUAAUUAUCAAGUAAGUUUGAAACUUUGCAUGAUAAUUAUAAUUUUUUAGAUUAUUAUGAAAAUAAAUUUUUUAAUUAUUAAGUGCAGACUUAACACGAUAAUUUUUAAUUUUUAAAUUUAUAUAAAUAAUAUUUUUAAUUAUCAUUUCAAAACUUAACAAAUAAUCAAUAAUUUCAAAAUUAUUAAGAGUCUAACAACUGAACCAUUAUACAACUAUAACUUGAUCUACCAAUAAUAUGUUCUAAUUUCAAAUAAUACAAAUUUUCAUUCAAAUUUUCUUUAACCAUACUUUAAAAUUUAAGUUUAAUAAUUUUGUUUUAAUUAUAUAUUUUCAUCGAAAACUGUUACAUAUUUUUCGCACAUGGCGGUACAGCAAAUGGAUAAGAUCCACACAAAUAUGAUAACAAUUAUGUGGUUCAAGUCUCACCACGUUUUUAUGUAUGAUAAAUACUGGUUAAAAAUUUAAUAAAAGAUGAAAAAUUUCAUAAAUAGUUGUUAAAAAUUAAGAAGGAAAACUUCAUAAAUGAUUUUAUAAGUUCAUUUCUUUUGUGUGUGUUGUUGCAAUAGAAACCUUUCACAAAAUGGUAACCAUCAAAGCAUCUUACACAGUAGUUCCAAAUCAACCAACUCCAGAGGGCAUUCAAUGGCUGUCUGAUAUUGAUCAAGUGGCGCGUCUGCACCACACUCCCACCAUCUACAUUUACCACGCAAAGCACAACCAUGGCACAUUAAUUCAACAGAUGAGAAACUCUCUUAGCAAGAUUUUGUGCCACUACUAUCCAUUGGCUGGUAGAUUGAGAAAGUUAGAAGAAGGUGGCAGAUUGGAAUUGGAUUGUAAUGCAAAAGGAGUGGUGUUGAUUGAAGCAGAAUCCACAAAAACAGUGCAAGAUUAUGAUGACUUUUUCGGUGAAUCCAUCAAGGAUUUGGUUCCAACAGUUGAUUACACAAAAAUCCUAAUUCAGGAACUUCCCUUGUUACUGGUGCAAGUAACAAGUUUCCUUGGCCAUGAAGCAUUUUCCAUUGGAGUUGCUAUCAGUCAUAUCUUGUGUGAUGGUGUUGCUGGUGUUCAGUUCAUCAAUUCAUGGGCAAAGUUGGCUCGUGGAGACACAUUAGAGCCUCAUGAAAUGCCCUUUCUGGAUCGAACUGUGCUCAGAUUCAUAGCCCCUCCAUCACCCCAACGCUUUGAUCAUCUAGAGUUCAAGCCUUUGCCUCUCAUAUUGGGAAGAUGUGACAACACUGCUGAGAAAAACAAAAGGGUAAAGGCCACCUUGUUGAAGCUGACAGCAGAACAAGUGGGGAAACUGAAGAACAAGGCCAAUGCUGAUGAAUCAACAAAAGGGUCAAGACCUUAUAGCAGAUUUGAAGCUAUUGCUGCACAUGUAUGGAGAUCUGCAUGUAAGGCUCGUGGAUUAGAUGAAAAUCAACCAACUGUUGUUCGGUUCAAUGCUGAUAUUCGCAAUAGACUCAUUCCACCUCUCCCUGCGAAUUACUUUGGGAAUGCUUUGGCCUUAACAGCAGCAUCAUCACAAGUUGGAGAAAUCUUAUCAAAUUCUUUGGGUCGUGCUGCUAAGAAAAUAAGGGAAGCAAUUGAAGUUCUUACAUAUGAGUAUAUAAGCUCACAGGUACAUAAGACCAAUUUUUUUGGUCCCCUUUCGACCUUAUUAUUUAUGUCUAUUUCUUUCACACUUCUUUUUUAGUUUGACAGUAUUUUCUUCUUAUAGCAUUAACAAAAUAAAUGUAUCAAAUUAAAACUGAUUCUAACAUAAUAAACUAAAUUGUAUGUUGCAUGAUUGAUUAAGUAAAAAUGAAUCACAUUAUAGUUAAGAAGAAAUAACCAAAUUUAACUUUUUAAAAUGUUUAAAUGACAUGAAUUAAUUCUCUGCAAUUAUAUUAUUUUAAAGCACAUAUUUUAAUUUAUUAAGUAAAAAAUAAUUUUAAAGAUAAAAAAUUUUAUUACUAUAUUAACUAGUUUGAAUACUACUUUUAAAAGUAAAAAAUAUUACUAUUAAUAAAAAUUAAUUAUAAAUUAAUUUUUAAAAUAAUAUCUAAUUAGUUAUCAAUAUUUUAAUUAUUAAUUAAUUGAAAAUUGAAAAUUUAUUGUUAAAAUUUUGACACAUAAUUAAAAAUCAGUUUAUAAAAUUAUAUUAAUAAUAAAAACUAUUUUAAAUAUCAACCGAUGUUUGGUGAUGGAAGGGGGUGGACUUUAAGCCUAACUCAGCCCCAUAAAACCGGUUCACAGGGUUGAGGUUUGCAUCCACUUAUAUACAAUGAAAUGUCCUAAUCUCUAGUCGAUGUUGGAUCUCCAACACACCCCUCACGCCGAGACUGCCAACUCGUGCGUGAGACUAUAUAUUAUGGAUGAAGCUGCUCUGGCUAUUCAGAUGGGGAAUACCCAGUCUCUUCUUCUUGGAAAACAAAUUAAGUGCUCUUGGGGGAGCAAGCCCACUCCACCUGGAACUGCAUCAAAUCCCCUUCCCCCACCUGCUGCCGCAUCUCUUCCUGGCCUGUCUGCAACCGAUCUUAUGGUGUACGAGCGACAGCUAGCAAUAACUAAGAUGGGGAGCGUGCAUGCUUUGAUGCAUCCCCAAGGGCAACAUCCUCUUAAACAAGCAGCAGCCAUUGGAGCCAGCCAGGCAAUAUAUGAUGGUGGGUUCCAGAAUGUUGCAGCUGCACAGCAAAUGAUGUACUACCAGUAACACACCGCGCUUCUCUUCAUGUGAUUUAAUGCAACUAUCUAUAUAUAUAUCCUGCCUGCUGCACAUGGAUUCCUGUUAAACUCUAGGAGAUUUUACUUUUUACUUUUUCACUUCACGGUGGUUUGGUACUUUACACCUUCUACCAUAUUAGAUAAUUAUGAGCAAACAUUUGUAUGGGUUUGUAUCAUGUAUGCGGUUUUCUACUUAGUAGUGAUGAGUGUUUAUGAUUUUAAGAGGGAUUCUCUGUCCUGACAUUUUUCUUCUUACUUCAUUGAGCCAGUUUUAUGGGGUUGAGUUAGGCUUAAAGUUCACUUUCUAACAUGGUAUCAGAGCCAUUUCGAGCCUAUCCUAGUGAGUGUUUGUUGGGUUUAUUAGGUUACCACCCAUAAUAUGUUAUCUCACGCACGAGCUUCUAUCUAUCACUCUCGGCGUGAGGGGGUGUGAUGGAGAUCCCACAUCGACUAGAGAUGAGGACAAUUCAUUGGAUAUAAGUGGGUGCAAACCUCAACCCUAUGAGCCGGUUUUAUGGGGUUGAGUUAGGCUUAAAGUUCACUUUGUAAUAGACCUCACUAGUAGAGGGAGAAGAUCGGACAUCGGUUGUCUGAAUGUUGUAGAGGGCCACAUAAGGUGGGUCCUAGAGUUUUGUUAAGAUAACAGUCAAAGACAAGAGAUAUGUGGGAAGCAUAAGUCACGAGGGAUCCGUGCACGUGGUAUGUAUGACACGUAUGGAUAAUCCUAGGAAGCAUUAAGGCCCAUUAGGGUUAGGGUUUCCAGGGAAAGUUGCAUGCAUGACACAUGAAUACUUAGGGCACCCACGAAGCAGAUGGUGGUAGAGAUUAGGUGCACAAGUUGGUACCCAAGCGGCCACUCUGUCAUUCGUUGCACUCCAGUUAAGGGAAGUUCAUGUGCCAGAUACACUAAGAUUCUAUGAAUAGCGGCGCAAGGACAUUCUCUAAGGAACCCUAAUCAAGGGUAAUGACACAAGGGUAAACCCUAGUUUCAGCCUAUAUAAAGGGUGCCCAAACCCCUAGUAAGGUACGUAGUUUCUAAGACUGAAGCUAAUAUACACACUUAGAGUUUAUUUGCCCUAAUACUGACUUGAGCGUCGGAGUGCAAACGACCGCUAGGACGCCCCUUUGUCUUUUGCAGGUGAAAGGUUUCUUGAUCAAGAAGGCACGUUUCUCAGGCAAGACCGAAGGGCGGCAACAGUUGUUAGGGUCAACCGGCGGAGCAAGUCAACCGGCAGGAACAAAAAUAAUAUCUAAUUUAACUAAUAUAGUUACUAAUUAAUUUUUAUUUCUAAAAUUAAUUUUUAUUUAAUAUUUAUUUUAUAAUACUUUUAUGAAUUACAUUUAAUUUAAAAUUAAGUAGUUUUAUUUAAUAGUAGUUCGGUUUUUUUAAUGAAAUUGAGUACUAUAGUUUGGUUUAGUUCAUUUUUAAGAAAAUCCUAAAAAUGAAGGUAUAAUCCUGGAUAUUUGAUUAUUACUUUGACUUUCACACAUUAAUUUUACAGAGAAAUUUGUUUUUUACAGAUAGAUGUUAUUAGAGGCCAGGACCAUGUGGAUAAAGCAAGGGCUUUGUACUUUGGAGCAAAUGAAGGUAAGGAUGCAUUGUUUUUUGGGAACCCUAACCUUCUUAUUACAAGUUGGAUGAGGAUGCCAAUGCAUGAAGCAGAUUUUGGUUGGGGAAAGGCUGUAUAUUUAGGUCAUGCAGGUGUGGCUACACAAGAUAGGGCAUUGAUUACUCAAAGUUUGGAUGGGGAUGACUCUAUUAUUGUGU